rnacentral:rRNA from 1 species
GACGAACGCUGGCGGUGUGCUUAACACAUGCAAGUCGAACGGUAAGGCCCUUUCGGGGGUCCACGAGUGGCGAACGGGUGAGUAACACGUGAGUAACCUGCCCUCAUCUCUGGGAUAACAGUCGGAAACGGUUGCUAAUACUGGAUAUGAGCUUGCAAGGCAUCUUGUGGGUUGGAAAGAUUUUUUUUGGUUGGGGAUGGACUCGCGGCCUAUCAGCUUGUUGGUGAGGUAGUGGCUCACCAAGGCUUCGGCGGGUAGCCGGCCUGAGAGGGCGACCGGCCACAUUGGGACUGAGAUACGGCCCAAACUCCUACGGGAGGCAGCAGUGGGGAAUAUUGCACAAUGGACGGAAGUCUGAUGCAGCAACGCCGCGUGCGGGAUGACGGCCUUCGGGUUGUAAACCGCUUUCAAUUGUGACGAAGCUUUUUUGUGACGGUAGCAGUAGAAGAAGCACCGGCUAACUACGUG